UACGGGGGGGGCAAGCGUUGUUCGGAAUUACUGGGCGUAAAGAGCUCGUAGGCGGUCUGUCGCGUCGGUCGUGAAAACUUGGGGCUUAACCCUGAGCUUGCGGUCGAUACGGGCAUGACUGGAGUUCGGCAGGGGAGACUGGAAUUCCUGGUGUAGCGGUGAAAUGCGCAGAUAUCAGGAGGAACACCAGUGGCGAAGGCGGGUCUCUGGGCCGAUACUGACGCUGAGGAGCGAAAGCGUGGGGAGCGAACAGG
rnacentral:rRNA from 1 species